ensembl:lncRNA
GCCUCACACUCAGAGGGACAGUCCUCAUGUUGCUCCAUGGACACUGACGGUGACCCUCAGGCUGAUCCGGGGCCUCUAUCACCAAGCAGUAUGUUCAGCCUGAAAUAGGUUAACUGUUUCAGUGAGGGAGAUAGAGAAGCAAGUUAACCCAUUUCACAACGUGACAUAGUUCAUAGUCUGUUACCAUGGUAACUUAGUCUGUGACCAUAAUCCUCUUCCUCUCUUCUCGUCACUCUCAGGCCGAAUUAUGAUCCAUUAUGUUUUGUCAUUAACUGUGUCCUGUCUUCUCCUCUCCCUCUUCUCCUCUCUCUCUCCUUCAUCCUCUCUGUCCUGUCUUCUCCUCUCCCUCUUCUCCUCUCUCUCUCCUUCAUCCUCUCUGUCCUGUCUUCUCCUCUCCCUCUCUCUCUCUCUCUCCUUCAUCCUCUCUGUCCUGUCUCCCUCUUCUCCUCUCUCUCCUUCAUCCUCUCUGUCCUGUCUUCUCCUCUCCCUCUCUCUCUCUCUCUCCUUCAUCCUCUCUGUCCUGUCUCCCUCUUCUCCUCUCUCUCUCCUUCAUCCUCUCUGUCCUGUCUCCCUCUUCUUCUCCUCUCUCUCUCUCCUUCAUCCUCUCUGUCCUGUCUCCCUCUUCUUCUCCUCUCUCUCUCCUUCAUCCUCUCUGUCCUGUCUCCCUCUUCUUCUCCUCUCUCUCUCCUUCAUCCUCUCUGUCCUGUCUCCCUCUUCUUCUCCUCUCUCUCCUUCAUCCUCUCUGUCCUGUCUCCCUCUUCUUCUCCUCUCUCUCCUUCAUCCUCUCUGUCCUGUCUCCCUCUUCUUCUCCCCUCUCUCUCCUUCAUCCUCUCUGUCCUGUCUCCCUCUUCUUCUCCUCUCUCUCUCUCUCCUUCAUCCUCUCUGUCCUGUCUCCCUCUUCUUCUCCUCUCUCUCUCCUUCAUCCUCUGUCCUGUCUCCCUCUUCUCCUCUCUCUCCUUCAUCCUCUCUGUCCUGUCUCCCUCUUCUCCCCUCUCUCUCCUUCAUCCUCUCUGUCCUGUCUCCCUCUUCUCCUCUCUCUCUCUCCUUCAUCCUCUCUGUCCUGUCUCCCUCUUCUUCUCCUCCUCUCUCUCCUUCAUCUCUCUGUCCUUCUCCCUUCAUCCUCUCUGUCCUGUCUCCCUCUUCUUCUCCUCUCUCUCUCUCCUUCAUCCUCUCUGUCCUGUCUCCCUCUUCUUCUCCUCUCUCUCUCUCCUUCAUCCUCUCUGUCCUGUCUCCCUCUUCUUCUCCUCUCUCUCGCUCCUUCAUCCUCUCUGUCCUGUCUCCCUCUUCUUCUCCUCUCUCUCUCUCCUUCAUCCUCUCUGUCCUGUCUCCCUCUUCUUCUCCUCUCUCUCUCUCCUUCAUCCUCUCUGUCCUGUCUCCCUCUUCUUCUCCUCUCUCUCUCUCCUUCAUCCUCUCUUCUCCUCUCUCUCUCUCCUUCAUCCUCUCUGUCCUGUCUCCCUCUUCUUCUCCUCUCUCUCCUUCAUCCUCUCUGUCCUGUCUCCCUCUUCUUCUCCUCCUCUACCCGGCCGACUGUCAGUAGGAAGGUUCUUCCUUAUGAGUCGGGUCCUGUUCAAGGUUUCUUCCUGUUAAAGGGAGUUUUUCCUGACACUGUCUGCAUGCUCAGGUUCAGGCUCUGGGUCUCUGUGAAGCGCUUUGAGACAAUUCUGAUUGUAAAAUGCGCUGCAUAAUAAAACUGAAUUAAAUUAAUGUGUGUGAUCUGCUGGAUCUUCAGUCCUGUG